CUGUGAGCUCGAUGAGUAGGGCGGGACACGUGGUAUCCUGUCUGAAUAUGGGGGGACCAUCCUCCAAGGCUAAAUACUCCUGACUGACCGAUAGUGAACCAGUACCGUGAGGGAAAGGCGAAAAGAACCCCGGCGAGGGGAGUGAAAAAGAACCUGAAACCGUGUACGUACAAGCAGUGGGAGCACAGAGCAAUCUGUGUGACUGCGUACCUUUUGUAUAAUGGGUCAGCGACUUAUAUUCUGUAGCAAGGUUAACCGAAUAGGGGAGCCGAAGGGAAACCGAGUCUUAACUGGGCGUUAAGUUGCAGGGUAUAGACCCGAAACCCGGUGAUCUAGCCAUGGGCAGGUUGAAGGUUGGGUAACACUAACUGGAGGACCGAACCGACUAAUGUUGAAAAAUUAGCGGAUGACUUGUGGCUGGGGGUGAAAGGCCAAUCAAACCGGGAGAUAGCUGGUUCUCCCCGAAAGCUAUUUAGGUAGCGCCUCGUGAAUUCAUCUCCGGGGGUAGAGCACUGUUUCGGCAAGGGGGUCAUCCCGACUUACCAACCCGAUGCAAACUGCGAAUACCGGAGAAUGUUAUCACGGGAGACACACGGCGGGUGCUAACGUCCGUCGUGAAGAGGGAAACAACCCAGACCGCCAGCUAAGGUCCCAAAGUCAUGGUUAAGUGGGAAACGAUGUGGGAAGGCCCAGACAGCCAGGAUGUUGGCUUAGAAGCAGCCAUCAUUUAAAGAAAGCGUAAUAGCUCACUGGUCGAGUCGGCCUGCGCGGAAGAUGUAACGGGGCUAAACCAUGCACCGAAGCUGCGGCAGCGACACUGUGUGUUGUUGGGUAGGGGAGCGUUCUGUAAGCCUGUGAAGGUGUACUGUGAGG
rnacentral:rRNA from 1 species